rnacentral:rRNA from 1 species
GAUGAACGCUGGCGGCGUGCUUAACACAUGCAAGUCGAACGGAAAGGCUCCUGCUUGCCGGGGUACUCGAGUGGCGAACGGGUGAGUAACACGUGGGUGAUCUGCCCUGCACUUCGGGAUAAGCCUGGGAAACUGGGUCUAAUACCGGAUAGGACGAUGGUUUGGAUGCCAUUGUGGAAAGUUUUUCGGUGUGGGAUGAGCUCGCGGCCUAUCAGCUUGUUGGUGGGGUAAUGGCCUACCAAGGCGUCGACGGGUAGCCGGCCUGAGAGGGUGUACGGCCACAUUGGGACUGAGAGACGGCCCAGAAUCCUACGGGAGGCAGCAGGGGGGAAUAUUGCACAAUGGGCGCAAGCCUGAUGCAGCGACGCCGCGUGGGGGAUGACGGCCUUCGGGUUGUAAACUCCUUUCGCUAGGGACGAAGCGCAAGUGACGGUACCUGGAGAAGAAGCACCGGCUAACUACGUG